UUCCCCCAUUUGGGAACCCUAGAGCCAGCCGUUCCCACCCUUUUAACUCCACAUGAAAAAUGCUCCAUACCUUAGCUACACACCAUCAAAAAUCGGCGACACCAUACACAACACACACAUAGAAGUAGAGAUGAAAUAUUGGACCCUCAUUUCCUAACCUAGCAGCGUCGUCGCCUUGUUCAUCGUCUUCUCCACGUGGACUUUCCCUCCAUUUCAAAGAAAAAACUAAACGGACCCUCCCCUCCCAUGGCGGUUCUUUCUUCUUCACUUCACCGCAUGAAAGACAUUAAAAAUUCUUGAAUCCCAGAUCUGGAAAACUCAAAAAGCUCCAAAUUAGAAAGGAAAACUAGAAUUUGAACAAGGAGCUUCCAUUUUCUUCUGGAUUUCGGUAUUAACUUUCUGGUUUGCUGAGGAACUCGCUGCUGCUUCUCUUUGCUGUUGGCUUGAGCAUCAUCCGCUAUUUUCGGCCUUCAUUUGGCUCACUUCAGCCUCAUUCUUUGUUCGAUUUAGAGGAGUUCGAGAUUCAUCUUCCAUUUCUAGAUUUUCGGCAAUUAGAGACAGCAGCUGACGCAGGCAAGGAUUUCGUUAAUUAAAGCGCACAGAUUGAUAGUUCUCGGUGAGCCUUGCACUUGUUCACGUGGGCAGAGAUUUUAUUUAUUUUCAUGGUCUUUUUUGAACUCUUAGAGUCGCUCCAUGGUCAUUCUUUUAGUGUCUUGAGUAGUCUUUGUUAUUAUAGACUUAUGUUGAGUAACGCUCAUUCCUAUAAAAAUUUGGAGAUAUAGUAGUAUUUCUAGUUGGUAGUGGGUGAACUGUUAAAAGUAGAUUAUUUUGGUUAUUUGAUAAAGUCAUUGUCAUUUGAAAUGCUA